rnacentral:rRNA from 1 species
GACGAACGCUGGCGGCGUGCUUAACACAUGCAAGUCGAACGGAAAGGCCCUGCCUUUGUGGGGUGCUCGAGUGGCGAACGGGUGAGUAACACGUGAGUAACCUGCCCUUGACUUUGGGAUAACUUCAGGAAACUGGGUCUAUUACCGGAUAGGAUCUCCUGCCUCAUGGUGGGGGUGGGAAAGUUUCGGCGGUUGGGGAUGGACUCGCGGCUCAUCAGCUUGUUGGUGGGGUAGUGGCUUACCAAGGCUUUGCCGGGUAGCCGGCCUGAGAGGGUGACCGGCCACAUUGGGACUGAGAUACGGCCCAGACUCCUACGGGAGGCAGCAGUGGGGAAUAGAGCACAGUGGGCGGAAGCCUGAUGCAGCAACGCCGCGUGCGGGAUGACGGCCUUCGGGUUGUAAAGCGCUUUCGCCUGUGACGAAGCGUGAGUGACGGUAAUGGGUAAAGAAGCACCGGCUAACUACGUG